rnacentral:lncRNA from 1 species
GGGUGGAGAGUGAAGAAGCUGCAGCAUGUGGUCUGCUGGGAGAAGCUGCAGCAUGUGGUCUGCUGGGAGAAGCUGCUACACCAGGGCAGGUUGGUGUCGAUUGCCCUUCACUGGAAGCCAAAGAAGGUGGCACAGUUACUUUUGAGUGUCGUCUGGAUCCCCCAGUCAACUUAUCAACAUACGCACUGGAUUUUAGGACAGCUGACCUCGACGAGGAGGUCUACGUGUAUCCAUCUGGGGACAGGAUUCCGACACAGAUGAUGGGGUACAGAAACAGGACGAGUCUCAUCCAGGAGCACCUGAGCAGUGGACUCAUUAGACUGAACCUGUCCCGGGUACAGCUGUCUGACAGUGGACCAUACAAAUGCUUCAUCCCCAAACUGAGGGUUGGCUGCACUUUCAACCUCACAGUUGUAAAACCUGAGGCACCAGACAGGAUAGAGGAUGAUAACAACAGUACGACAACACCUCCAGUGGAAAACCAGCCUGGU